GCCGCCGUGGCCUAACUGGAUAAGGCAUCAGACUUCUAAUCUGAGGAUUGCGGGUUCGAUCCCCGCCGGUGGUA